GCCUGCGGCCAUAUCACCCCUGGCCCCGGCUGUGAUCUCCUUAGAUCUCCCAGCCUCAACAGGCUGGGGCCUGCUGCACUGGUUGUGAGACCUCUGGAGCGAGCCAGGAGCUGCCGGAG
rnacentral:rRNA from 14 species